ensembl:lncRNA
AUGGCUGCCAACAGACCCAUUCUGUGGUCGCAGAGCUCUCUAACCUACAUCCGAGUGCCCUCAUCCGCCUCUGUCAUUUUGCAGAGGCAUAUUUUGGCCACAUGCAGCUGGAGGGUGAGAAGUAGACCGAUGGACUAUCCGGCCAACGAGAGGCUGCUGUCGACUGCUGGAGACCUGAGAAUGCCGUUCUCAGACACGGUCAAGUACUCCAUCCUGGGCAUCUCGGUCGCUCUUCUUCUGCUGGCGCUGGGCAUCUUGGUGUGGCAGGCCUUCAGGUGCUGCACCACAAUCACCCGGCAAGAUGCUGUAAACAGGGAUCUGCUGUGCUCAGUCGAAAAGUCAAGAACGAGGAGAAGCUACUCAGGAGCUCCAUGCACUAGGAUGGAGAAUGUCAGCACAGAGGUCCGCAGGCUGAGCCGGUGUCUGUCGGGGGCCUCGUAUCCCGCCUCGGAAUCCAGACAGGUGGACGGAGAGGAGCAGGACACCAUUAAAAAGGUCGAUGGAACGAUUCGUUUUUCCAUCUAUUAUGACCAACUCCAGUCGCAGCUGGUUGUCACCGUCCUGCAGGUGGAAGGGCUUCUGUGGCCAAGCCAGACAUGCAGCCUCCAGCCAUUUGUCAAGCUGAGACUCAUGUGGGCCGGUUCAGUGGGAGUGGAAGUGGACGACUGUACGGACAAGGAGGUUGGCCUUCUUUUGUCACCACAUGCAGUGUGUUAGUCAACAAAUGGCAUCAUAAAAUGCAUUAUUGGGUAGAGAAACUACAGCAGGUAGUGUGUUUUUGUGUGUGAUGGUGUUGUGGAUUACUGCCCCCAGGGCGAAGGGACCGCACCCAUCUUGUGGACGGUGCUGCAGGAGUGGCGGACUCGCAUUGUGAAAGGCAGCUGUAACCCUUUAUUUGGAGACCAAUUCAGCUGCAUCAUGCAGGAAGACAAGGAGCUUCAUCACAUUAACCUCAAGAUGGAGGUACUGCAGUGAACUAAUCCUUGUCCAUUUAUCUCUUGAAUCAUUGGAAAGGAUUUUUGACAGUUGACGAAGUAAGCUUCAAGUAGAGAAAACUAUGGAGCCAAAACCAGGUCAAAAGUUUUGAUCAUUUGAUAAACAAAUGUGAACCUAAAAGUUGGGUUGUUGAACAUUGAAAAAUACAACAAUGUAUUCAAAAUAAAAAUAAGUGGACGAAAAUAUAGUUUUGACUCAAGUAUAUUCUUUUUUUUUUUUUUUUUAUCUUCACGUAUAUAUAUUUUUGAUAUUCGGUGUAUUGUAUUUUUGGUUGCAGAUUUUAUGUUUUCAGAUUCAAAUCUUGAAUUUUCACUUUCAGAUCUUAUUUUCGCGUUUGGAUCUUUUUUUGGCGUAGGGGACGGGGCAUCAACUGGGAGGGGCGUGAAACUUUCAGGUUCACAUGUGUUUUUCAAAUGAACAAAACUUUUGACCUGUAUUUGGCUCCAUAGAAAACGCAAUGUUAUACAGUUGUGGUCAAAAGUUUACAUACACUUGUAAAGAACAUAAUGGGGGCUGACGAUUUUAGGUUAUCUUGAAGAAUUGCAGGAAUCAGGAAACAUUGCCAAAAUAUGUCAAACAUGCAAGGAAUUUGUCUUGACGGUUGGUGCGUGGCAGUAGACAGUGUGACAAUGGACAAGACAGCAGUGCACAAGUAAUAAAAUGAAAUGCUAAUGCAAUGGGUUAGUAGAAUAAGGCUAUGGGUUAGUAUAAAUUAAGAGAAUAAAGUCAAAAAUAUUUAAAAAGUUACAAAAUAUAAAAAAAUAAAGUGCACUAUUCAACAAGUGAGAAAGUGACGAGUUACAACAAAGUAAUGAGUGAAAAAUUACAGUUAAAGUGACAUGUGCAGUAGGAAGCAAAAAGACCGGUGGAAUGUUAGUGUGUUAGUCAGUCAGUGGGGGACCGGGCUCUGUUGAACAGAGCCCGACUGCCGAUGGGAAGAAACUGUUCGUGUGGCGGGAGGUCUUAGCCCUGAUGGACCUCAGCCUGCCAGAUGGAAGGGGCACAAACGGUUUUUGUCCGGGGUGAGAGGGGUCGACUACCAUCUUUUUAGCUCGCUUCAGAGACCUGGAAGCGAACAAGUCCUGCAGGGACGGCAGAUUGCAGCCGAUCACCCUCUCUGCAGAGCAGAUGACCCUCUGCAGCCUGCCCUUGUCCUUGGCUGUGGCUGCAGCGUACCAGACGGUGAUGGAGGAGCAGAGGAUGGACUCGAUGAUGGCCGUGUAGAAGUGGACCAUCAUCGUCUUUGGCAGGUUGAAUUUCUUCAGCUGCCUCAGGAAGAACAACCUCUGCGGAGCCUUCUUGGUGAUGGAGCUGAUGUUUAGCACCCACUUGAGGUCCUGGGUGAUGAUGG